CCUGAAGAAACCAAGGUAACGAAUCACACCAACCCAGACAAGCAUGGUGGCUGUUCCCAGCAAGAUACUACAGACAUCAUAGUUUGUUAGGAACUGCAAAAAAAAAGAAAGGACGACGGAAUAAACACAAUAUCAAGUUUCCCUUUAUCUUCAGGCCAACAUUCCCACAGUGAAUAAUAUGUGACAAUAUAGCCAGUUAGGCUCAAUGAAAAGCAAACCUUUGUUUGAAUUCCAAUUUUAAGCGCUGACCCAGCGAUGGUCAAUGUGUCGCUGACGAUGAUGAGGAUAUACCAGCCAUUCACAAACUCCAUGCGGUCUGACCAAGUGACAAUUUUAUUGUAGUAUGCAUGGAAGAAUAUGUUGAACUC